GAGAUGGCUCCUACGGCUAGCUUAUAGUUUAUUUGUUUCAUUUAUUGAUUGCCCACUUAUUUUUACCCAACUCAACAAUCUACAAAAUUAGGUUUUUGAUAAGAUGUUGGUUGCUGAGAGGAACCUAAGAUUAUUUUUUGUCUGAAGCAAGAUAUUGAAAAUUGUAUGAGAAAAAAAUCAGUGAUAGAUGGAUAUUAUCUUUAAAAAAAAAUAUUUAUCUACCCAGUCCCUAUUUUUACCCUUUGUACACAUGUAGUGUGUAGAAAAAAAGCACUUUUAGUUUAUAAACAUGACGAAAUGUUACCUCAAGAAUUGAACAAGUUUUAAUUGUACUGGGCCAGUGGCAAUACCCUGCAAUCCGAUGUUAAGGGUUCAAAUGAAUGCUCUACAAAAACUGUAAAGUGGAUCUUUGUUAAUGUGAUAGUGCAUGUGUAUUUGAGUGACUGUAUACAUAAUUUAAAUCCAAAUAAGCAAGCUUUAGGCUUUAGUGUACAGCUACAAAUUCCAUGAGAUUUUUUGCCUGCUUGUGUGUUUAUAUCUAUUAGGUGACCUCUCUGCCAAGCUUUGCCAAUGUUGGUCUCUGUGUGACCAAGCUUUGUACAAUGCUUAAUACUGUGUGUUGUGAUUUUGUGUCAUAGUUUUAUAUUCUGAGGUUGCAACAGUGUCGCUAUUUGAUGUACAUUGUACAGCUGUUGGUUGUUGAUGUCAGUGCUGCAAAUGGUUGAUAACAUGUACUUCUUACGAAAUUAAAGGAAUUUAUUUAC
rnacentral:misc_RNA from 1 species